rnacentral:rRNA from 1 species
CCCUGGUAUUUUUAAGAAUGUAAGAAGUAAAUAUAGAAAUGAAAUUUAAUAAUUUUGGCGGUUAGUUACUUAGUCAGAGGAGCUUGUUUUGUAAUUAAAUUUUAGUAUUUACUCUUUAUAUUUAAUCUUUAAUUGAAGCUUAUUCAUUUCCGUUGUUAAGUUUCAAAUUUAAUUUAAUAUUUCAGGUCAAGAUGUAGCAAUUAUGAAAUAGAAAAUUAGCUACAGUUUAUUUUUAAUAAAUUUUUAGGAGGGUUUUUAAAAUGAAAUUGAAUUUGGAUGUAAUAGAUAAUUAGAAAAUUAUUAUGAAUUUAAUUUAAUUGAUGUA